GAUGAAGAACGCAGCGAAAUGCGAUACGUAAUGUGAAUUGCAGAAUUCAGUGAAUCAUCGAAUCUUUGAACGCAUAUUGCGCUCUCUGGUAUUCCGGAGAGCAUGCUUGUUUGAGUAUCAGUAAACACCUCAACUCCCUUUUCUUUUUUGAAAUGGGAGCUGGACUUGAGUGAUCCCAACACUUUUCUCACUGGAAAGUGGCGGGUCACUUGAAAUGCAGGUGCAGCUGGACUUUUCUCUGAGCUAUAAGCAUAUCUAUUUAGUCUGCCUAAAAAACAGAUUAUUACCUUUGCUGCAGCUAACAUAAAGGAGAUGAGUUCUUGUGCUGACUGAUGCAGGAUUCACAGAGACAGCUUUGCGGCUGACUUUGUAAACUCGAUCUCAAAUCAAGUAAGACUACCCGCUGAACUUAAGCAUAUCAAUAGCGGAGGA
rnacentral:misc_RNA from 1 species